rnacentral:lncRNA from 1 species
UCACUGCAUUGGAAACAUCUCCUUCUAGCGAAUGGCAUAGCUCGGCCAUUUAAGUUUGUCCAGUGGCAUAGGCUCACCUGUGAUGGUGAAGGAGUUGGCGGUGGAGCUUUAUGUCCGAGUUUCAGUGCAUCAGCAUAAGAGAUAUGCUGUUUAAAAGAUAUACAGCUUUUUAGUGGGUCACCAUGCUGUUGGGAGGCACC